AACGAACGCUGGCGGCAUGCCUAACACAUGCAAGUCGAACGAGACCUUCGGGUCUAUUGGCGCACGGGUGCGUCACGCGUGGGAACCUUCCCUUAGGUUCGGACUAACUCCCCGAAAGGGGUGCUAAUACCGGAUAAUGUCUUCUGACCAAAGAUUUAUCGCCUUUGGAUGUGCCCGCGUUGGAUUCGCUAGUUGGUAGGGUAAAAGCCUACCAAGGCGACGAUCCAUAGCUGGUCUGAGAGGAUGAUCAGCCACACUGGGACUGAGACACGGCCCAGACUCCUACGGGAGGCAGCAGUGGGGAAUAGUGGAAAAUGGGGGAAAGGCUGAUCCAGCAAUGACGCGUGAGUGAUGAAGGCCUUAGGGUUGGAAAGCGCUUUUAACCGGGAAGAUAAUGACAGUACCGGGAGAAUAAGCUCCGGCUAACUCCGUG
rnacentral:rRNA from 1 species